rnacentral:rRNA from 1 species
GACGAACGCUGGCGGCAUGCUUUACACAUGCAAGUCGAACGGUAACAGGGAGCUUGCUCCGCUGACGAGUGGCGAACGGGUGAGUAAUGCGUCGGAACGUGCCGAGUAGUGGGGGAUAACGCAUCGAAAGGUGUGCUAAUACCGCAUACGUACUGAGGUAGAAAGUGGGGGACCUUCGGGCCUCACGCUAUUCGAGCGGCCGACGUCUGAUUAGCUAGUUGGUGAGGUAAAGGCUCACCAAGGCGACGAUCAGUAGCGGGUCUGAGAGGAUGAUCCGCCACACUGGGACUGAGACACGGCCCAGACUCCUACGGGAGGCAGCAGUGGGGAAUUUUCCACAAUGGGCGAAAGCCUGAUGGAGCAACGCCGCGUGUGUGAUGAAGGUUUUCGGAUCGUAAAGCACUUUCGACUGGGACGAAAAACCUUUGGCUAACAUCCAGGGGCCUGACGGUACCAGGAGAAGAAGCACCGGCUAACUCUGUGCCAGCCGCCGCCGUAAUAC